UUCGGUGGCGUCGAGUUAAAGAUGGACAACGACAGUGACGUGAGGAGAAAACAUAAAGACGGCACCAAAAAAGCCAGGAGUGAAAAGACAAGUGGACUGGUGGAAGAAGCAAUAAAGUGUACGAGAAGAACAGGGGUAUUCGGAGUGAAAGACAGGCGAGAGACAGAAGUCACAGAAAUUGUGCGUCAACAACACGGCAGCACUUCGAAAAUAAUUUAAUGAAAGGUCUGUGCUGCUGGUCAUCUGUACAUUAUGCUCAUUUAUUGUUUUGGGAGCAACAAGAAAUCCAUCAGCCAUAUUCAUUGUAACAAAGUAUUGCCGUUUCUCCGGAACCGCAGGCUGCUGUUGCUCUUUGCGGCCACAGACAGUCCGUCCGUAGACAUGACGGAUAUAUACGAUAUGACACGAUACAGUACAUGAUAUAUGACAUGAAAUAAUAUAUGAAAUUACAGGGCAGCAGACAAAGCAGAGGCGCAAUAAAUGAAUACAACAAAGACACGGGAUGCGGUCACCUGGUACACUGCUACUUAUAAGCUUAAGUAUCACAGAAUUACCUUGCAGAAAAUGACAGGACGACUGUAGGCGUGUGCAGCGUCAUUAAAAGUGCAGCACAUGGAGCAAAUUGAAGACGUGCUGCAGCACAUUAAGACCCUCUCAUUUCAUAAUAGAAACACAGAAGUGCAGUCAGUUUCGGAAGUGCAGGAGAGAGAGCAGCUUGUACUUCGGGAUCCUUCACAAAAAGCAAUAAGUGAGCAGAAGGACUGGGAAAGAACCUGGGAAAGACAAGUGAAUACAGUGAAAUACAGUGAACUGAGUACAGUAACGGGCAGUGCAGUGAAAGGAAAUGCGAUGCAAUUCCCGGCGCUUCCACCAGGUGGCAGAGCGAAACUGUAAGUGCUCCAUUGCUUUGUUCAUCCGUGACUGGUGAGCGGCUCUUCGCGCGCACCUCACGCAAUGAAAUGACACCCUGUGAUUCCGCUGUGCAAUAAACUCCUGUUGUCCUCGUUCGACGAGAAUUCU
rnacentral:lncRNA from 1 species